UACGAAGGGGGCUAGCGUUGCUCGGAAUGACUGGGCGUAAAGGGCGCGUAGGCGGUUCAUACAGUCAGAUGUGAAAUUCCCGGGCUUAACCUGGGGGCUGCAUUUGAUACGUGUGGGCUUGAGUGAGGAAGAGGGUUGUGGAAUUCCCAGUGUAGAGGUGAAAUUCGUAGAUAUUGGGAAGAACACCGGUGGCGAAGGCGGCGACCUGGUCCGACACUGACGCUGAGGCGCGAA
rnacentral:rRNA from 1 species